GAUGAAGAACGUAGCGAAAUGCGAUAAGUAAUGUGAAUUGCAGAAUUCAGUGAAUCAUCGAAUCUUUGAACGCACAUUGCGCCCGCCAGCAUUCUGGCGGGCAUGCCUGUUCGAGCGUCAUUUCAACCCUCGAGCCCCCCCGGGGGCCUCGGUGUUGGGGGACGGCACACCAGCCGCCCCCGAAAUGCAGUGGCGACCCCGCCGCAGCCUCCCCUGCGUAGUAGCACACACCUCGCACCGGAGCGCGGAGGCGGUCACGCCGUAAAACGCCCAACUUUCUUAGAGUUGACCUCGGAUCAGGUAGGAAUACCCGCUGAACUUAAGCAUAUCAAUAAGCGGAGUA
rnacentral:misc_RNA from 1 species